rnacentral:rRNA from 1 species
GACGAACGCUGGCGGCGUGCUUAACCCAUGCAAGUCGAACGGAAAGGCCCUGCUUUUGUGGUGUGCUCGAGUGGCGAACGGGUGAGUAACACGUGAGUAACCUGCCCUUGACUUUGGGAUAACUUCAGGAAACUGGGGCUAAUACCGGAUAGGAGCUCCUGCUGCAUGGUGGGGGUUGGAAAGUUUCGGCGGUUGGGGAUGGACUCGCGGCUUAUCAGCUUGUUGGUGGGGUAGUGGCUUACCAAGGCUUUGACGGGUAGCCGGCCUGAGAGGGUGACCGGCCACAUUGGGACUGAGAUACGGCCCAGACUCCUACGGGAGGCAGCAGUGGGGAAUAUUGCACAAUGGGCGGAAGCCUGAGGCAGCAACGCCGCGUGCGGGAUGACGGCCUUCGGGUUGUAAACCGCUUUCGCCUGUGACGAAGCGUGAGUGACGGUAAUGGGUAAAGAAGCACCGGCUAACUACGUG